CACCCGCAGCCGCUCGCUGCCGCGGAGAGUGCAGCGCGCGCCGUGACUCGGCCGAUUUGAGACGUCGCCGGUGCCAGCCGCUGACCAGAAACUCCAGCUAGGAAACCCGCAGUGGCGCUUUCCGUGGCUGCGCGCUGCCUCACGCUGGUACCGCUUACUUGAAGGUAAUUUUUCAGCUUCAGUCAAAAAAGUAUCUAAUAUGUCAGGAAGGUGAUUGUAGCAUUACCCUGAAUCCAUGUCAGCAUUAUGGACUGUGUGAUCCCUGUGCAGCUGCACAAGGAGAAUGUCCCAGCUGCAAGAAAAAAAAAAUUCCGUGGUAACAUGGAGGCAUAGUCCUCAUACCAUGUUCAUGAAUAUAAUUCAUAAAUAAUUUUAUGGUUUUGUGUAAGAAUUACACCGUUCAGUAUGAAACAAUUUAAUAGUGCAAGACUGAUGUCCAGUUUGAUGUGAGAAAUUGAGUUGCUUUAAGAUGGAGAAUAAGGCUUGCUUACCGUUAUAUAGUAACUUCAGUCAUUUGAUGAGGUUUUUAUGGUCUUGUGAUUCUUUCAUCCUCCCUCAAUUCCAUCCCACCUUUUCUGAGUUCCACAUACAUUCCAGUACACAAGCUACUUCGGUUCAUUUGCACUGAAAUCACUUUGUGUGUCUCAUCACAAUGUCUGAAUAAAGUGUUUAUACCACCUGUUAUUUUCAUUAAUGAAAGUUGGAUACAUAGAUAAAGUAACUACGUGCUCAACAGUACAAAUGCUUCCUUUGCAAAUGUUCUCAGAGCCGAAGCAGAUUGAUUUGGUUCUGGUGCACUGAAACAGGAUCCAAACCUUGGAAACUUUCUAUUUGUCCUUAGGCUGGAAAAUAUUGCUGUGUAGCACUUGUUCCCUUGUACCUGCAGUUCACUGUGGGAAAGAUUUCUUUUAGUGAGCAAACGUUGUCGUGACUGGUGCAGCAAAAAGCAGAAGAGUUCCUGGUAAUAUCAGCUUGGAGAGAACGCGAGUACUAGCCAAAACCUCACUGUGUUCCAGUGCAAUGCCGGUGUGGGAGGAAAGGGCAUGAGGUGCAAAGCCCUGAGCAGAGCGGUGGGAAAUGGGAGGCGAGGAAGAGUCGGGCUAAGGAUGGAUUUAAACUGGCUGGGUGUUAGUGCAGGAAGAGACAUUUGUCAUCCAGAUUGCCAAAAUGAAGACCUGUAAAAUCCUAGCUCUGCCUUGUCUUUAAUAUUGUUCUACUUCAUAUUUAUGUCAUCACAAAAAGCAAGGAAACAAUAAAUGUCACUAUUUCUCA